CGAACGGGCUGAGGCUGUGCCUGCAGCCACGGGUUUCUUUGUGCGUCUGUCUGUCAGCACUUUGGGUGACAUUCCCUUCGCCGCGCGGGUGGCUGGCGAUUUUUCUCUUUUUUACUGCUGGAAGAGGUUAUUCUAUGCAAGAGAAAAAGCAGAAAAGCCUUUGUAAUUUUCACAGAGGUUUUGUGGAAUAUAGUGCCGAAAAAGCAAUUUGGGUUUUUGUUUGGUUUUUGUUUUGUAAUUGCAGAGUUUUUUUAGCAUUCGGGUGGAUGCUGGAUGCUCUUUCUUUAGUACAGAUUUAUGUCCUAAAGAGAUACUUGAUUUCUUUGACCAUAUCUGUGAUCAUAGCUUACAACUACUACCUAUACACACCUGUCUAUUUCUGCUGCAGCUUCCUGUCCUUGACCCAGCGAUACAUUGUGAAGUUCUCCUGAGUCAAUGAAUCCUGGUAAAAUGCAGUAAAGGAUUUAAGGUUAUCGUCUGUCUCUCUCUAACUUCUGACAUCUCUUUAUAACAAGAAAGAGUCACAGCCAACUGUAACAGGAGGGCAACACAAUGAAUCCUGAAGAGGCCAUACAGACCUUGUCAUCUGGAGAUGAGGGAGUCACAGCCUUCCAGGGAUCUUCUGCCAAUGUUUCACCACCUUCAUGCCUCUUGUGAAGCAUUUCCAGACAGCUGGAGAUCCCCCUGCCCUCUUGGCCUGAAGAACCACAGUGCCCUCAGCCUCUCCUUCACUUGUUUCCUGCUAUAGCCUCCACUGGAGUGGGUUAAUGUCUUUCUUGUACUGUAGGAGAUGCAGUAAUUAAAUUUGAAUUUUUCAUUUAUAACAUCUAUUUUUUGUUCAUACACUUACUGGUAGUGUAACACUCUUAACACCUCCUAUAGCUGUAUCUUCUUUUUGAGUUUUGUCCUGUUUGGUGUAGUUGGAUGUGCUUCUACUUCAGCUGUCAGUUUUGUUCUCUGAAGUCCAAAUUUCUCCUUGCACUGCCAGUUCUUCGGUUACAUCCCUUGCCACUGACUAGACAACCCAUGUUUCAGCAUCUUACAGGCUUUCCAAGUGAAAGUACUCUCCCAUCCAUCCCCCCACCCCUUUAUUUCUUUUUUUCUUCCCUUUUCUACUUGAAAAAUCUUGUUCUGCUUCCUGCAAGAAGCUGGAACCCAAGGGUGUGGUUCCCUCAACACACUGCCCAUGGACCAACAAAGUUCAGGACAGAGAAUACCUAGAGGAGGGGAUCCAGGAUUUUAAAAUGGUAAGAGUAUGAGAGCUCCUCUGAGUUUGACUCUGUAAAAUUACUGACAGCACUUGGCUCUGCUGUGCUGCUGUAUGGAAUGCUUCUGAGUUUCACCUGCAGGUCACUGAGAACAGAGCAUACUCAGGACUUAGCAGAAAUUAUUCCCCCUUUUGAAGGAUCAAGCUCUUGAAGAACCCCCACUGUUAGAAAUAUGACCUCUUCAGGUACUUAAAAUUACUUAAUUAGCAUUAUAAACAUUAGAAAGAACAAGAUCAUUCUAGCAAAGUGAAUAGAGCUGUAAUUGCAGGUGUUACAGAAUUUAGUACAAAAGAUGGGUGUUCCCAAUAUUUGUUUUAAAGUAUUUUACAAGGCUAUAUAAAGAAGGAAGAAAGCAAGCUAUCAGGUAGUGGGGGUUUUCCCCUCCAUGUUUUUGUGAACUAAAAUUAGAGGGAACACAUAACAAGCAUCUUGCUAUUAAAUUUGCCCAUGACAAAUAGUGCAGCUGCAUGUAGUGUGCAGGAACAUCUGUAGAAUCAUGACACAUGCAGAAUUCCCCCACACUGAGAGCGUGACACUAUACUGAAAACAAUUCAGUUGUAGAAGCAAUAUAAAUAUAUUUUAUAUAAUCUUUCUCCACCUUCUCCUCCCCCUUGUCUUUUGAAUCAUGUUAACUACAGGAUUCUGUCACUUCUUCCCAGCAUCAGUAAAAAGUAUAAAAGUGACUAAGCAUUUCAGAAUUAUGCUCUUCUUUCAUUAGCAGCUAGGAUGCAGACAUUUCUUAUCUGAAGAAACAAAAAAAGAAAGAAUAACCAGUGGCAGAAAUGCACUAGAAAGACACCAUAGUUUACUCCAAAUGGAACUUGACAUGGUUUGAAGAUGCAAUUUAACUCUUGAGAAAUCAAAGGAUGAUUUUCUAUGUCAGCACCUCACGUGGUUGUUCAGUUCAAAGUGAGCUGUUGGAUUGCUGCCAGUCUUUGCUUCACCCAUGUAAGUGAUGGCACAAAGUACUGUGAUACAUGAUAUCACAAAGUGCUAUGGAAUAAUAUGUCUAAAAUCUACAGAUUUCCAAAGUAAGGGGAAUCUCCUUGCCUGGGAUUUUGUGAGUUCCCACAGUUUAUUGUCUGUAUGUAGUGAUGGUAGAACUUGCUCGAUGACCCUUUAAGCUCCAUAUGGUCAUAAAGAAGGACUUUCAAGGCUUUUUCAAAAGCCUUGAAAGCUUUUCCCAAAAAUUAUUUUAACAAAAUAUUUGCUUCCUUCUUAUAAAUAUUCUAUUGUUUGCUCUCUGAAAUAGUUGUUCUGCAAUCUUUAGAUUUUAGAAGUAAGAAAUUUUAUAAUUGCAAUGCAAACAAUGAUUUUUGUAAUGUCUGAGGUUGUCUAAAUUUAGACUAUGUGAUGAUAAUACCAUGAGAAGGCAAACACAUGCAUGUUAUGAAGACUUGGAUCAUCAUUAACUUGUUUCUUUGAAACAUCUUACUUUCAGUCAUUAGGACACAUCAGAACUGAUAACUGUGUGAAGCUCCAAGAUAAUUUCCAAAAUUUUAAUGCAGACUGCAAAGCAGGCAUGAAGCCAAGACCCAGCUGUCUUGGUCAUAAUUUUCAGCUCCUUGCCUAUUAAAUUCCUGCAACCCAACUGCAAUAACACUACCCUUAUGACAUAUUCCUAUUACGAUUUUAUUGAUAUGAUACAUUUUUAUUUUACUUGCUGAUACUCUUUGGUCAAGUUGUUUGAACUCUUGCUUCAUGCAUCACCUGAAAAAACUUUGUUUUCCUAUUUCAGAGGAACAUACUGUCCAUAAUAUAGAAGGUUUUUAAAGCACUCUGAUGACUGGAAAGGUAUGCAUGUGUAACAGAUAUUGCCUGAUGACAUUUGCUUACUUGUAAGGGUAUAUUUAUCCCUUAAUUAAAUUAGAUAUGAUUCUUCAUUUAAUAAUACAGUGACUUUCAACAUUCACGUCCUGGUUUGUGUGUCCAGUGACUGCUUGCACAAGAUACACAGGCAUGUGCAUCAGCACAGCAGAAAGGAACAGCAAACAUCCUGCAGAGCUGGAAAAUGCCUUCAUUAACUUUUCAGUAUCCACAACUUUCUCAUGGAGAGGUGCACAUCCCAUGGCCAGAUGUAUCUGCAGUCAGCUGUGGCCACCCCAAGCUGGAAAUGAGUGUGUGAGCAUCCUGCUCACUGACCCUUCCACUGCAGUGCCUGUGUUCUGGCUGGUCUCUUGGGUGAGUGCUUCAACAGCUCCUUGUAGUCCUGGGCUUUAGUUCUAAUAUAAACAGAGGCACAAUUUUCAGCAAGUUAGCAGCAUGAGGAGUUGUGGAAAAAUGUACCAGGGAAAGCUUUGUUUAUAUCAUAUGUAAAAUGGAGCUCUAGAAUACCCCUCUUGCAGAUUUUACUUGAAAUAAAUUAAAGACUUUUGUGGUAAUUUUAAAAGGUUUAUUUUGUUUUCCUCAUGAUGGAAAUGCAGUGAUUCUUGGAGGAAGAACAUAUACACAUGGAUAUAUUUACCAUGGAUAAAUGAAUUGAAAAAUAAAGACUAUUAGAUAAAUACAGUUAGUUUGGUUUAGACCCAAAGAAGCCAAAUUCAGCAUCAAAAUGAUUAAUACUAUAGCUGAUCUAAUUCUUUUACUUGUUUUUUCUUUGCUUGUAUUUUUUGCUGCUGUGUCUUGUUUACAGCUUCUCAGCCAGAAGAAUAUCCUGCAGCAAAUUACUGUCAGAAGCCAAAAAAAGUAUCCAUAAUUCAUCCUAACGCACUGUCAACUUAAUUUUAAAAUAAUUUUUCUGCUUUAUGAGUUCUGGCUGAAGUAGUAAGUUUGCAAAUCCAUAAAUCAAAUAAAGGAAAUACAUACCUCUGUUUAAAGAUUCUGUUUUCCUACUUCAUUGUAAGCGUAGUUUUUAUUAAUUAAAACUUCAGUCACUAGGAAGAGAAGAAAGAAACAAAAAUGUGGACUGUAUUCUUUACAACUGUACACAUCUGUGUUGUGACUCCAGAGCCAUCUCUUUGGACUAUAGAGAAGUUUUUCAAGAUUUAUAAAGCAGAAAUUAAUUUAGGUUGUGUAUUCCAGUGAGCACUCUGAGGAGCACGUGUGUGUGUGUGUGAAUUAGGCCGAGCCUGUUGAGGCCUGUGAAGGGCACAGUGUGCGGUGAGGUGUCCUGCAUUUGCAAGAGCCCUGUGCAGGUGUGCAGACACUCACAAAAUGUCCUCAGUUUCCAAAUGUUUCCAAACUGACCUCUCUCAUCUCCAAUAACAGUGAAGCUGAUUCAAGUUCUUUAGCUGCAAGAGGCACGUUAGAGAGCAGGUGUGGAAGCUUUCUGUGAAUCUUCUGAGAAUCACUGAAAAUUGGGUGAAACUUGUGUCCCCAAGUGCAGGAACAGCAGCCUGGCAGCAAGUGUGAGCAUGGCCUUGUUUGUGCUCGUCUGCACACGGGGAAAGUCCUGCAGAAUUCCCUGUCCCAGGAGUCAGUAGUGUCCCAGUGUGUGUUCCAGCUCAGAGCUGCCACCAGCAGCUACUGAAUAGCACCACGUUCUGAAUCUCAACACACCAUGAAAAUCCUCCUUUAAUCAAAUGCUCCCAGGGGAGCAAGAAAUUCAAGAUGCACUUGCAGCCUGGGCUGGUGCACACCACUAGAUCAAUACUUGGCAUAAAGAGCUUUCUGCUUGUCUCUGCAGUGGAGGGGGGCCAGGGACACUCUUAGCAAGCAAAACCAACAGGCAGCACAUGAGGUAACAUGAGGGCAGCAAGGAAGAGGCAAAGGUACAGGACUGAGUGGGGCACUGUGCUGGCUGGAUUAGAAAGAAUUUUGCUUCUCAGCUUGAGAUGUUUAAUUAAGGAAUUUCAUCGUAAUUUUGACUAAGCUUAACAAGUAACAAAUUCAGUGCUCUGGCUCACUAAAUUCUUUCUUGCAGUCUAAAUAAGCUGCAGAUCUGGAAGAAUUCAGUGGCUUAACAGCACUUUCUCUCCAGCUUGCACUGUAGGUAAGUGCUGUCCUGUGGCAACCUUUUAGGGUCAAGUGAUUUAGAGAGCUUAGACAAGGCUGGGGUUCAGGAUCCCUAUAUUCAGACAUGAUCCUGAGUAGCAGAGGCUGUGAGGAAAUAUUUUCUGACAUUUACUAGAGGGGCAGGGGAGGGAAGGGAGGACUCAGCUCUAGGAAAGAGAGUAGGUACAGCUAACCUAGAAGGAGGGGAAGGACUCAAGAAUAUAAUGAGGAGGUGGGGGAAAUGACACUGGAAUAAAAGGGUGAGUAUGUGAGAUACACACUCAUCCUGGCCUUCCUCUGUUCAAAGCACUCCCUCCAAGGGUGGGUAUAAGACUUGAAUAGAGGGGAUGGAUGUCAAAGUAUUUCCAUAAGGAAUAUAGUGCAAUAAAUCAGAGAAAAAGGGCAGAAUGGAGGCAAGGAGCAAAUGGUAGGAGAAUUAUUUUAGUUCUAAGUGAAUGAUUAUGUCUCCUGAGUGAUUACACAUCAGGAUGGUGGUGUGUUGGAGAAGAUUGUUCAGCUAGAUAGGAAGGAGUGCUCAAAUUGCAGUCAUUGAACUGUAGUUCAUGCAAGGGUGCAAAUAAGAUAAGAAAAAUAGACAAGUAAAAAUCCAGCUGGAGUGAACGUGUUUUGGGCACUGCAAUCCUUGUGAGUUAAUGUAACUAUCAUACAGGUGCAGGAAGAGUUUUCAGAGGAAGCUAUUUGGAAUACUUGUGGAACAUAAUCAGAGAGAGACCUGAUGAAGGAAAUAACAGACUAUUAAAAAUACUCUGAACAUAACUUGCAAGUAAUGGGUUAAGUACAAGAUGAAUAAUUUCUUCCAAGUUUCUGCUAGAACAGGAUCACCCGCAAGAAAUAUCUGCAGUAUGACACAGCUAUGGAGUCACCGCAGUACAGGGCUGGUGAAAAACAAGAGAUACAAUAUCCCAUUCAUUAUACUGCCAUGAGUGGAAAGUAGGAAAGGGCUUGAGCAGAGUUGAUAUGGGCAUUAUACCUUGGGCAAUAUCAGGCAUUCAGAAGAAAGAGAGCUGUCACAUUUUCUUCAUAGCUCUGCAUCAGUUUUACUCUCACUAGCACUGGUCACUUUUUGAUUAAAAUAGAUAAUUUAUAAAUUGAAACAGAUGUGACUCUUAUCCAGUUUUUCCCCAGUGCUGAGGUUUGAUCUUAUGCCAGUGAUGACUGUAAACAUAAGACCAAGGACUUCUCAUGUGGCCAUAUUUUUGCCAGGCACUGCUGUCACUUUUCUAUUUAGCAAUUGUUGUAGCAUCCCCCCACUCAGUGGCUGGAUCAAGACCUUUUGUUCCUGUAAUAGGGACCUGGAAUAAUAAAGGUUAAGUUUUAAAUUUCUACUUACAGAAGCUAGUAUGUCUCAGAAUUCACUCACUUGUGUUUUUGUAAAAAAAAGCAGCAUCACUGGGAAAAAUUUAUUUAUCCUUAUUUCAUCCAAAAUUCAAGAGAUAAAAAAAGAUGAAGAUUCCUGCACUGAAUCCAACAGUCCUUCUUUGGUCUCCAGUAGGUUACUGGGAACUUAGUAAUGGGGAAGUUCUGAACUCAUCUUUGCUCCAUGUGGAGCAAAGUCAGCCAUUACUAUUGCCAGUUAUUCUUUCAGAUGUUUUAAAUUACAGUUCUAUUGCUUUAUUUAUGCAUGUAUUUUAUCUCCAUGUGUUUCAUGAGAAUGUGGAGCUGCAUGUCACAGUACCUUUUUUCCAUGGGUUAAAGGAAACUGUUCUAACACUCCCAGCUUGUGCUGGCCAGGUACCUUCUGCUGAAGCAAUCCUUUGUUACCAUGGAGGGUCAGUCACACAGUGCUGGUCAGAUUAUGUGCUGCCUGUUAUGUCCACAAGUAUAUGGAAUAUAGCAAGGAAAAGAGAAUAACAAAGCUUUAGUGGUUUGCUGUCCCUGAUGCGUAUUAAGUUGGAAGAAACUGCAAAACCCCUGAGUUAUUUUCCUCAGCAGUCCAGAGUUCAGGGAGACCCAGAGCACAGGAACAGUUGCUGCCACUGCACACCAUUCCCCCCUUCCGCAGACUGGCUUUCUGGCCAAAGUUAAUGAUUCAUAAGAUUCUGCACUGAUUUCACUGUGAGCUUCCAUAUUUGCAUAAGUAAAAGCUUCUGCAGCUUCUGUAAGGAGAUUCUUAGUGAAAUUGCAGCACAAAACAUUGAUAUUAUGUAAUUAUGGUAGUUCAUUUUAACUUAAAUGAAAUUGUUACUUUAAACUUGCUCUAAGUGGCUCACAAUGUAAUUUUUGUAUGACACACCUAGAAAACAAAUGAGUUAAUCACAAUAUGUGUCAUUUUUAAUUUUUCUCUUUCAUUUUUCUUUCAGUCAUUCUCUCUUUGUAAUUAGCAUGAAGACUACCCUUCAGUCAAAAUUAGCCACCUGGAAAGUUUCAGCUUGUAAUAUGCAGCUUUUUUUGUGAAUUAUGAAUGUGCAAAAAAGAGACCUUUCUCCUUACACCCACUUCCUUGCAUAAUUCAAAAUAUGAAUGAAUGAAUUUUAUUCAGGCUUGCCAAAAAAAUUAUAUUUCAGCUGAUAACAAGCAUGAAAAAUUUUAGAUGAAAGGGAUUAGAAAAAAAAAAAAAAGAAUAUUCUGAGCAUGGGAGAACAGCAGGUUAAGACAGAAGUCUGUAACUAUAACAAUUGCUAUCAAGCAAAUACCAUAUCCAAGCACUAAAUCUUGCUUUGUGCUGCCCUAGUGCACAGUAGCAGGGACAGAGUAGAAUAAUAAAAGCUGAUCCCCUUAUGCAAACAGCAGGGCAGAGCACUUGAGAGAAUACAAGGAGAAGGUGAGCCUGCCUGCUCUUCUGGCUUGCUAACCAUAUUCCCAAGGUCUGUGGGUUAGUUGUCUAGCUCCAGUCAGAUAGCAAAAGGUACUUCAAACACUAGCAAAGGGAAUGUUUUGGUCCUUUCCAGAAGAACAUUUUACUAAUUCCUUGCCUCCAAAUGUACUGUUCUAUUAAAUAAAGUAUUUGAAGGAAUUCAUAUAAGCAACAACAUGGUUUAAUGGGUCAAAAAGGGAACAGAAUCAGUGCCAGGAAUUUUUGAGAUUGUGUAUUUUAAGAAUAUAUAUCUGUGAAGAAGGUAUUAUCUGUGCAAAGCAGAAUGAGAUUUGGGCUCAUGCCAGUACCACUUUGAAAAUAAACUAUCACAGUGAAGAAAUGUUACCAUCUGGAACAUUUCUGCAUCAUAUUUUCUCUUGUUCCCAAUAAUGCCUUGGUGAUAAGUCCAGCUCUCCUUUUCUACUCAGAAAACAGGAUGAAAACUCCCAUUCAUUUACUAUGUGUUUGUUAGAAAAAAUGCCCAUUACAGUGGCUAAACAGCAGUGAAUACUAAAGUAUUACCUUGCAGAUUCACAGAUCCACAUUGAUUAGAGGAUCAACAGACAGGAUUUGCAAAUAGCAAGCCUGGGCAUAGAAAUCCCCUUCCAGUCUGAUGUGAGUUGACUGUUGCAAGUUGAGCUUGGCAGCAAGUGACCAAAAUUGAGUUGUCAGCCUCCUCCUGCAUAGUGGAAGAAGUUGUUGCUUUCUUGUGCAGAUGCAAGGGUUUCUGUGGGAAAACAGAACAUAGUCAUGGUUCUGAAUGUCUCUGUGGAUUGGUAAUGUCUCUAAUACAUAGAUCACUUGUGCAAAUUCAGUCCCAGCUGGAUGGGAAAUUAUUGAAAAUGGUUGUUGUUUGAUUGAUAUAAAAUGAGUUGUCAGCUUGAUUCAAUGCCUUCAGGGCAGAUGUCCACAGCAUAAUUGGCACCUGUCAGAAGCAAAGAAUUCCUUGGUACAGAGUAACAGCUACUCAUGCAACCACCCAGAACAGUCCUUGCAUGCCAGGGCUCAGAGAAGAAGGCAGAAAAAAAAUACUUCUGGGCAGGAUCUUUUAUGCCAUAAAGUCAAUAAGAGUUUUGAUGUGACACUUGGUGCAAGCUUUUCCCUGGGAUACUGGCUACACACGAUCAGCUUUUCUGCUGUUUGGUCAACACUUUCCCUAAGAAUUAAACUCACAUAUUUGGUUACUUGUUAUUAUUGUCGUGGUGAAGGUGGGUUUAUAAAGACCACUUAAUAAAGAAAUGUUUACAUGUUUGCUUAUUAUAAAAAAAUGCUGUGAAUAAUUUUAUUUUUCUAUUUCUUGAGAAAUUCUCCUCACAACAAUACAACUAAAGAAAUAAGAGAGUGUCCUCUCAGCAAAAAAUAAG